rnacentral:tRNA from 1 species
GCGAGUGUGGCGGAAUUGGUAGACGCGUCGGAUUCAAAAUCCGAUUUCCUCGGAAGUGCGAGUUCGAUUCUCGCCAUUCGCACCA